UCCUGUGGUAGCUUGAUCUUACAGCACUUACUAGAGCAUGAGGCUCUUAACCUCAGGGUCAUGGGUUUGAACCCCAUAUUAGGCA